rnacentral:snRNA from 1 species
AUUCUCAAUUCAGCAGCACAUAUACUAAAACUGAAAUGAUACAGAGUUAAUUAGCACAGCCCCUGAACAAGGAUGCCAUGCAAAUUUGUGAAGUGUUCCAUAUUUUU